AGCGAACGCUGGCGGCAGGCCUAACACAUGCAAGUCGAGCGGAUGAAGAGAGCUUGCUCUCUGAUUUAGCGGCGGACGGGUGAGUAAUGCCUAGGAAUCUGCCUGGUAGUGGGGGAUAACGUUCCGAAAGGAACGCUAAUACCGCAUACGUCCUACGGGAGAAAGCAGGGGACCUUCGGGCCUUGCGCUAUCAGAUGAGCCUAGGUCGGAUUAGCUAGUUGGUGAGGUAAUGGCUCACCAAGGCGACGAUCCGCAACUGGUCUGAGAGGAUGAUCAGUCACACUGGAACUGAGAACCGGUCCAGACUCCUACGGGAGGCAGCAGUGGGGAAUAUUGGACAAUGGGCGAAAGCCUGAUCCAGCCAUGCCGAGUGUGUGAAGAAGGUCUUCGGAUUGUAAAGCACUUUAAGUUGGGAGGAAGGGCAGUAAGUUAAUACCUUGCUGUUUUGACGUUACCGACAGAAUAAGCACCGGCUAACUUCGUGCCAGCCGCCGCCGUAAUAC
rnacentral:rRNA from 1 species